CACUUCUAAGGAAGGCAGCAGGCGCGCAAAUUACCCAAUCCUGACUCAGGGAGGUAGUGACAAGAAAUAACAAUAAACCGGCUUAUGCCGGUUUAAUUGGAAUGAGUACAAUUUAAACAUCUUAACGAGGAACAAUUGGAGGGCAAGUCUGGUGCCAGCAGCCGCGGUAAUUCCAGCUCCAAUAGCGUAUACUAAAGUUGUUGCAGUUAAAAAGCUCGUAGUUGGAUUUCUGUGGGGACGGAGCGGCCGGCCGCAACACGCGGUUCGAGCUAGCGCUUUCCCUACAUCCUGCCGCGAACCGUGCUACCAUUAGUUUGGUGGCGCCGGGGAUCGGCUCGAUUACUUUGAGAAAAAUAGAGUGUUCAAAGCAGGCCACAUGCCUUGAAUAAGUUAGCAUGGAAUAAUAACUAAGGACUUCGGUUCUAUUUUGUUGGUGUUCGGGACUGAAGUAAUGAUUGAUAGGGACAGUUGGGGCGGUCUGUAUUCCAAAGCGAGAGGUGAAAUUCUUAGACCUUCGGAAGACAAACAGCUGCGAAAGCGUUCCGCAAGGAUGUUCCCUUUGAUCAAGAACGAAAGUUGGGGGAUCGAAGACGAUCAGAUACCGUCGUAGUCUCAACUAUAAACUAUACCAGCUAGGGAUCGGCCAACGUUAUUUUAUACCGACUUGGUCGGCACCUUAUGAGAAAUCAAAGCAUCUGGGUUCCGGGGGGAGUAUGGUCGCAAGGCUGAAACUUAAAGGAAUUGACGGAAGGGCACCACCAGCCGUGGAGCCUGUGGCUUAAUUUGACUCAACACGGGAAAACUUACCAGGUCCAGACAUAGUAAGGAUUGACAGAUUGAUAGCUCUUUCUUGAUUCUGUGGGUGGUGGUGCAUGGCCGUUCUUAGUUGGUGGAGUGAUUUGUCUGGUUAAUUCCGUUAACGAACGAGACCCCAGCCUGCUAAAUAGCGCGCGUGAGCUUUGCUCGCGGCGAGCUUCUUAGAGGGACUCUGAUGCGCGAUAGCACAUGGAAGUUUGGGGCAAUAACAGGUCUGUGAUGCCCUUAGAUGUUCUGGGCCGCACACGGGCUACACUGGCGCCUGCAACGAGCAUAUCAGCUGGCCCGAGAGGGUCUUGGCUAAUCUUUUGAACCGGCGCCGUGCUUGGGAUUGACCUUUGCAAUUGUUGGUCAUGCAACGAGGAAUGCCUUGUAAACGCGAGUCAUCAGCUCGCAUUGAAUACGUCCCUGUCCUUUGUACACACCGCCCGUCGCUCCUACCGAUGAAUGUUCCGAUGAAAUUUUCGGAGAGUGCCUGUGAACUUGGCUCUGCCUUGCGAACGGGAAGCUCAAAGUCACUUAAAUCUGAACAUUUCGAGG
rnacentral:rRNA from 1 species